CUGAGCUACAACACACCUUUAAUUAGUAUAAACAUCCGUUUACGCUCCUCUCGGGAUGAUAAAUGUGGGUUGAAAGUCAAGUAAAGGCGACAACUGUUUUGACAUGUUUUAAUUUUAUUUCACGGGAGUCCAGAGACGAGGCUUGGAUAUGAUGUUCAGCCUGGGAAAGGAAAGCAGGGAGAUCAUGAGGUGGCACAGAGGAGCUGCAGCUCUUGCAGCAGAGUUGCAUCAGUCUCAUCAGUGAGAAGAGCAGAGCAGAGCAGCGCCCCCCCCCCCCAGAGCGUCACUAACGCAAGGUGAAACCACCGUCACAUUUCAGUGUGUGUGAGCUCAUAUUUACCAACAGCCAAGGACGUGUGUGUGUGUGACAGUCGGCUCACGUAUCAGGCGGAGCUGCUGAUAGAAGGAUUUACAGCACGAAUCAGAAGAAACGACCUCGGGGCCAAACGAUAACACCCCUGGUUAAUGUGGAACUAGAGAGAUAGUGGGGAGGGCACGUACCAGGGAGAUUACAGCCGUUUUCUCCUCAGCCUUUCCUUAUGCUUUCACCAAUAAACAUUAGAAUAAACCAGACGGACAAAUCUAUAGUUCAAAGCAUUUUAUUGCAUUUUUUUUUUUUUUUUUUUUAGAAAAACAAUACAAAAUUUUGUAGCAACUGUCAUAAAUGUUGCCUUGAGUGAACUGCAAUCAUUCACAUGGUACAGUAAAGUGCUUAUUAUAAAUCAAAAUGUUUUUUGUACUUAAAGGAUGUAUUCAUUUUGAAUUUUUACCCAGGAACACGAUGGGCUUCGGGGGGGAUUCAGUGUUUUUUUUUUUCUCUUCUAAAAAAUAAAAAAUAAAAAAUAUCAGGCG